rnacentral:rRNA from 1 species
UACAGAGGUCUCAAGCGUUGUUCGGAUUCAUUGGGCGUAAAGGGUGCGUAGGCGGCGCGGUAAGUCGGGUGUGAAAUCUCGGAGCUUAACUCCGAAACUGCAUUUGAUACUGCCUUGCUUGAGGACUGGAGAGGAGACUGGAAUUCAUGGUGUAGCAGUGAAAUGCGUAGAGAUCAUGAGGAAGACCAGUGGCGAAGGCGGGUCUCUGGACAGUUCCUGACACUGAGGCACGAAGGCCAGGGGAGCAAACGGG